UACGGGGGGGGCAAGCGUUGUUCGGAAUUACUGGGCGUAAAGGGCUCGUAGGCGGCCAACUAAGUCGGAUGUGAAAUCCCCAAGCUUAACUUGGGAACUGCAUCCGAUACUGGAUGGCUUGAAUCCGGGAGAGGGAUGUGGAAUUCCAGGUGUAGCGGUGAAAUGCGUAGAUAUCUGGAGGAACACCGGUGGCGAAGGCGGCAUCCUGGACCGGUAUUGACGCUGAGGCGCGAAAGCCAGGGGAGCAAACGGG
rnacentral:rRNA from 1 species